GUUGUAUAUAGCACAAACAGGAUUUAUCUGAUGUGCUCUGGUAUACAAUGUAGGAGAAAGAAGCUGGGAAGGAGUUGUUCUUUUGAGCUUGUCUCCUACCUGGCAUCCAUUCCUGUUACUGGUGACAUCUGCGGACUUCUAUGAAAGAAUUGAAGGUGAAGAUUAUAUCACCUAUGUCUGGAACAUAGAGCCGUCUGUCUACUCAUUAAAUUGUAGGGCUGGAAUUCCCCGGAGAAAGACUGGGCACCUGCCUACAGACACAUGCCCGCUUGAGGAUGCCACCCUGCCUAUUACAAGUCCCUCCUCACCUCUUGCAUGGUGCCUGCUGCUGUCUAACUGGAUCAGAGGCUGCUGGACUUAGGAAUCACAAUAUUCAGUCUGAUCUCACAUAUAUCAUUAGGUUUUGUCAUUAAUUUGAUGGUUUUCAU